GAUGAACGCUAGCGGGAGGCUUAACACAUGCAAGCCGAGGGGUAUAGUUCUUUCUGGAACUAGAGACCGGCGCACGGGUGCGUAACGCGUAUGCAACUUGCCCUCCUGAAAAGGAUAGCCCUUCUAAAGGAGGAUUAAUACUUUAUAACAGAUUUAAUGGCAUCAUUAGAUUUUGAAAGAUUUAUCGCAGUAGGAUAGGCAUGCGUAAGAUUAGUUAGUUGGUGAGUUAACGGCUCACCAAGACGAUGAUCUUUAGGGGGCCUGAGAGGGUGAACCCCCACAGUGGUACUGAGACAAGGACCAGACUGAUACGGGAGGGAGCAGUGAGGAAUAUUGGAGAAUGGGUGGAAGCAUGAUCCAGCCAUCCCGGGUGUAGGAUGACGGCGUUAGGGGUUGUAAACUACGUGUAGCUGGGGAUAAACCUACUUACGUGUAAGUAGCUGAAGGUACCAGAAAAAUAAGCACCGGCUAACUACGUG
rnacentral:rRNA from 1 species